rnacentral:rRNA from 1 species
UACGUAGGUGGCAAGCGUUGUCCGGAUUUACUGGGCGUAAAGAGCGCGCAGGCGGUCGUGCAAGUCGCGUGUGAAAGCCCCCGGCUCAACUGGGGAGGGUCACGCGAUACUGCUCGACUUGAAGGCAGGAGAGGGAUGCGGAAUUCCAGGUGUAGCGGUGAAAUGCGUAGAUAUCUGGAGGAACACCGGUGGCGAAGGCGGCAUCCUGGACCGGCAUUGACGCUGAGGCGCGAAAGCCAGGGGAGCAAACGGG